UGGGUCAUUUUGCGCCAUGGACGUUGGAGGCGCAACUUCUUCCGGUGCCGUCAGCCACGGGUCAGGUGCCUAUUCGCAUGAGUUUUUUGAACGCCUUCCGGAACUCGGGGUUGAAUAUGGUGUAGAUGACCGGGUUGACGAAACUGUUCAUGUAGCCUAGCCACGUCGUCAGGAUGAACAUCCGGACGCCAGGCGAGCAGUCCUUGUCCAGCUUAUUGCAAAUAGCGU